UCACCUGGUGGCUAAGCACAUUGACUCCUGAUAGAGCUCUCCCCCACUCCAGUACUCUUGCCUGGAAAAUCCCAUGGACGGAGGAGCCUGGUAGGCUGCAGUCCAGGAGGUCGCUAAGAGUUGGGCACGACUGAGCGACUUCACUUUCACUUUUCAUUUUCAUGCAUUGGAGAAGGAAAUGGCAACCCGCUCCAGUAUUCUUGCCUGGAGAAUCCCAGGGACAGAGGAGCCUAGUGGGCUGCCAUCUAUAGGGUUGCACAGAGUCGGACACGACUGAAGCGACUUAGCAGUAGCAGCAGCAGCAGCAAAGGAGAAGGAAUGCUGUGGGAUAGGCGAUGGACAGUGUCUGCCACGUCCAUCCCAGCUCCCGCUGCGCCCCUGUUGCAGCACAAAGAAAACACACCACUUCAGGCUCCUUCCACCACCUGCCCGUCCUCCCACUUCAUCUAUCAUCCUUCCAGCCGCACCCUGGAGCCCAGCGCUCAGGGCCACUGCUCCACAGAACUCACCAGCCUUCUUCCAAACUCUGCCACUCUGCUGUUGGCUCUCCUGCAGCAAACGGCAAGGCCAUCCAUCAGUCUGAGGCAGAAAGUCCUGCCAUUUGUCAUGAGAAGAGCUUGCUCCCAGCACACUGUUCCUCCUUCAGCCUCAGUCCCCAAAUGAGAGACACAGAGAGCCGGGGCAAAGCCGGGCAGACUCACCCCGGCUAACCUGAAAUCCUGCGGGCAAGGAGCACUCCCUGGGCUAUGACCCGCCCACGAUGAAGGAAGGAGAGCCCAACUCGGUGUUCGAGGCCAUUCUGGACACUGUGGAUCCAAACAGGGACAGCCACAUCACCCUGCACGAGUACUUGACCUUCAUGAUCAGCUGUGAGAACGAGAAGGGAGACUGAGAAGCUUCGAAGGGAAGCCUUCUGUGACCAAGGGAGGAGCUGUACCAGGACCUGACUCGGGAACAAGCCGACUGCUUCGUCUCCCACGUGAAGCCCUCCAUGGACAACAAGGGCUGUGAACUCCCCACUGCUUCUGACUAUGUCAAGUGAACCCGCUCGCUCCUCAUGAAUUGAUCCUCUGCUCCUAGGUUAGCCUGGCUCUCGCUGCUCACCUUGCUGCUGACUCGCUGCCUGUCAUCUCAUCUCUGUGCUCUUAAGAAAAAUACUCCCAGACAGUGAUACUUUCCAACGUAACCUUAACCUGCUUAGCUUGGGACAACAUUUGAUAGAAAAUGGUGCUUUGAUAAAUUGCUUCUGGUCUAGUCACCAGGUUGCUGUGGGGACCCAAUUCCUGUCUUAAAGCCAGCUGCCCCUUUUCAACUGCAGAAAAAUCUAAGCGGCUGGCUGGUUCGCCUCUUGUUCUCCCUCUCCCAAUUUUCUGUUUUCAUGUAAAAAGCAAAUGACUUGACUCCUCUCCCAAAAAAGGAAGUAAAUGUUUGUUGUAAGUCACUGAGAAUUGUUUGUUACA
ensembl:lncRNA